rnacentral:rRNA from 1 species
CAGGCCUAACACAUGCAAGUCGAGCGCGUAGCAAUACGAGCGGCAGACGGGUGAGUAACACGUGGGAAUCUACCUUUUGCUACGGAACAACUCUGGGAAACUGGAGCUAAUACCGUAUGUGCCCUUUGGGGGAAAGAUUUAUCGGCAAGAGAUGAGCCCGCGUCGGAUUAGCUAGUUGGUGGGGUAAAGGCCUACCAAGGCGACGAUCCGUAGCUGGUCUGAGAGGAUGAUCAGCCACACUGGGACUGAGACACGGCCCAGACUCCUACGGGAGGCAGCAGUGGGGAAUAUUGGACAAUGGGGGCAACCCUGAUCCAGCCAUGCCGCGUGAGUGAUGAAGGCCCUAGGGUUGUAAAGCUCUUUUACCCGGGAUGAUAAUGACAGUACCGGGAGAAUAAGCUCCGGCUAACUCCGUGCCAGCAGCCGCGGUAAU